rnacentral:tRNA from 1 species
GGAGAGGUGCGUGAGCGGUUUAAACGGCGCGCCUGGAAAGCGCGUAGGCUCGCAAGGGUCUCGAGGGUUCAAAUCCCUCCCUCUCCGCCA